UAGGGAGAACCACAGAGGCUUGCAUCACAAAGGUCAAUUCAAUAGAGAGCACACAGUUCUGAAGAGCUGAGUCCCACCCAGAGUGAAGGUAUGAGCCAUCCCAGAAGACUUCCCAGAGGAGGAACCACAAGUGUGAUGCGCAGGUUCCUUUUAGAACAUGACACCACGGAAAGAGCAACAAUCUCUGGCCUCGACAUUCCCGCUUUUCCUGGUGAGACACACAUGUGCACAACGGGUCCUAAAAAAUAACCCAAAGCACAGAUGUUUAAUCCACCAACACCAAAGGUCUGCUAGAAAUAUCUCACUUUCUACAAUGUUGCCCAACCAGGGACUGAACCCACAGCCUUGGCAAUGAAAGCCUAACCCCAGACUGCCAGAAAAUUGCUUUACAGAAUCUAAAAUGAAGCCAGGGCACCAUUGAGAAAGUAGAACUUACACCUGUUCACUCUUGAAUGCAAAAUAAACUUUCAACCCAAUGAUCCUGAGACCGCCUGGAACUUGUCCUCUUUACUGCCUAGAGAACGCAGUUCAGCAACGAAUCUGCUCC
ensembl:lncRNA